UUUUUUAUUAACUAUGAUUGAUUAUUGAACCAUUGUUUGAUUCUGCGAAGCUCUGUGAACUGUGAAGUCACUGAAGUGUGAACUGAUUUACUGAUUUACUGAAGUGUGAAGCUCUGUGAAUAAUUUUUUUAUUAACUAUGAUUGAACCAUUGUUUGAUUCUGCGAAGCUCUGUGAACUGUGAAGUCACUGAAGUAUGAACUGAUUUACUGAAGUGUGGCUCUGUGAAUAAUUUGAUUUAUUAACUAUGAUUGAGUAAUUGUUUGAUUCUUCUAGCUUCUAGUUCUAGGUAAUUUUUUUUGUUAACUAUGUGAUUUACUGAUUUUUUAUUGCUCUCCGAACUGUGAAAUGUGAACUGAUUCAACUGAAGUUACUGAACUGAACUGCGAACUUCGUUGAAUAAUUGUGAAUAAUUAUUGUUAGUUAAGCUGUGAAGUAUGAACUACUGAAUUUUGUUGUUUGUUGAAUAAUUGUGAAUAAUUUUGCUAAAUUGGAUUUUGUACUUGUUAGUUUGUUAAAUUGUUGUGAUUCUUGAAAUUGAGAUUAUUGGGUUGCUUUGUUCUUAUCAAAUUGUUAAUUUGUUAAUUUGCUAAAUUAAUGGUGUUAUUGUGAUUCCUGAGAUUGAGAUUGUCUUUAUUUUUUGGUAUUGGGUUGCUGGAUUUUCUAUUCGGAUUUUGUACUUGUGAUUCUUCAACCCUAGGUAUGAAUUUUGUUUUUUCAUUAAUUGAUUAGGGUAGGGUUGUGUUGUGUCGUUCCAAGAUGAAUAUGAUUGUUUUGCUUUGCGAUGCUUGCUGGUUGUUAUUUGAUCUCACCGCAUUUCAGCAUUUGAUCAAUGAAAUGUUUUGCAAACAUUCAGUUUUUGGUUUGCAUUUCCAUAUAUUGACUUGGAUUUAUACCUUACUAAAA